UACGUAGGGGGCAAGCGUUGUUCGGAAUUACUGGGCGUAAAGCGCACGUAGGCGGCUUUCUAAGUCGGGGGUGAAAUCCUGGAGCUCAACUCCAGAACUGCCUUCGAUACUGGAGAGCUCGAGUCCGGGAGAGGUGAGUGGAACUGCGAGUGUAGAGGUGAAAUUCGUAGAUAUUCGCAAGAACACCAGUGGCGAAGGCGGCUCACUGGCCCGGUACUGACGCUGAGGUGCGAAAGCGUGGGGAGCAAACAGG
rnacentral:rRNA from 1 species